CAGGAGUUUGACACAGUUCCUCAUAUGAGUCCACGAAUCCUCGCUCCUUAGCCCAGACCACGAAAACCUCACGGUCGGGAACAACAAUGCCUACCAGGGAAGCGGCCUUCUCUUCGUGGUCGCACACCACCAGGGAGAUCUCCGCUAAAGUCCACCGCCACACAAGCACAACUGACGUCUUACCCAAGUGGAGAAUAUGGACCAUGGCCUCCAGCCCCAGUGUGUCAUAAAGAGGAACCAAGGCCAUGGAGCCUCUCCGGAACAUGUCAUAAGCCGUCCUGGUGUCGUCAUGGUAGAACUCCAGGAGCGAGUCAUCUUGAAGGAGAGCUGAUCGCCUGCAGCUGGGAUCCCCCUACGGCAUAACACCGCGACAGUCCAGCCUCCCCUCUGUGAUGACACACACUCGAUCAAGGCGGCGAUCAUCGGCAGUGCGCAUGAGAUCCGAAAACAUCAAACAAAAAGUGAUCUCUGCGCAAUCAAACUAUUCAGCUGUCAAGCGGCCGCGUUGGAUAUUAGACGCUUGUUAGAGCAACCUGAGACAAGACGGGUCGUCUUCAUCCAUUUGCUUCACUUUCGCGCGAGGGUUGAACGAUUUUGAAAAAGAAUAUAGUCGAGGUGAUUCCACUUUCAAUAUUGCAAUUGCGAUUUCAUAUGCGAUUAUUUUUUUUCAAGGUCCUGAACCGACAGUAUCAUCUACGUUUUUGGAAUGAUGUCGCCGAAGUAGAAAAUUUCCCCAUUGCGGGACAAAUAAAGGAUAUCUUAACUUUAAAAACGACACAAUUGCGAGGUGAAUGUGAAAACUAAACACCUAAAGCUCAGAGAUUCAAACCCCAAACGCAGAGGUGGGCAAACUACGGCCCGCGGGCCAAAUCCGGCCCGAUGGUCUUUUUAAUCCGGCCCGCCGAAGGUUGGUACACAACUAAGGUUCAAUGUCAACGACUGCAUUCAUUUCAUUUGGACUUGUA